rnacentral:tRNA from 1 species
GGACGUGUGCCUGAAUGCUCAAGGACUACUUUGAUAGAGUACUUAAUAGAGGUUAAAAUCCUCUCACUUCC